ACAUCACACGUCUAAUAUUGAUGGAAACUAGCUAUAGCGUAACUGAAUAAAAGGAUCUAGCCAUCGUGAUGGGGUGGUUGGCUUAUGGAAUUAGUUGCCGUCGGCAGUAAUGGAGGCCAAAAGUCUAAGAGGAGAAUCUAUGAUUUCCAGGAAAUAUAAUAAAAGCUUCUGAUGAGGACCUUUUGAGAUACGAUGACGUUUUUAAUCGUCGUGGGUGAUUCUUCUGCUUGUCUUUAUUGCCACUUUAGACCAUGUAAAUUGACAAAAUUAGGGUUUUAAAAAAGUACAAGUUAAGUACAAGUAUAGCAUUACUAGUGUAAGGCUCUCUUGUUGUAAACAUCGUGGUACAUAUAAACCUUGAUAUUAAUUAGAAAGCAUGACAUUAUCUAGUUACAAUUGUUCGAUAAAA